rnacentral:ncRNA from 2 species
CUAAAUAGUUUGGGGUGCUGAUUUUUCAGCUGAGAUGAUACCCGUUGAACCUGCUCUAGUUAAUACUAGCGAAGGGAAACGUUACAUAUGAUAG